GAGGAAGGCACUGGAACCCUGAGAGGGGCAGAGAUGUGCCCAGCUGGCACAGCCAGCAUGUGGUGGAGUCAGAACUGCCCAGCUCCAGACCCUUGUUCUCCCUCACCACACUCACUGCCAGUAACCCAGCUGCUGCCACACCCUCCACCCUCUCAAGUGCUCCUAAGGAGAAGGCCACCUGAACUCUGGACACAAGAAACAAGCCCUCUGGAUAAGUUACAAAAUGCUACAGCCCAUCAGUCUCCAAGAACAGAAGACUCCAGCAAUAUGUAUGGUUCUUUACCUGUCCCCACGGCCUCUGUCUUAGCCUGGAUGGACCAUGAUCCCUGUCUGUCUUUUGGUGCUAAUGUUCUCUCGCCUGCCUGCCUCCCGUCUCCCUGCCCUCUCUGAUUCAUUCUCUUUGCUUCAAACUGUGUCACAGUUUAAAUGAAAGUUGCCAGGGAAAAACUUUUUAUAAAUUAAAAAAAAAAUGUAUCACAGCACUAUCUUUUCUAAACCCUAUUGUCCUUGAGACAAAGCCCCAUAUUCUCACACAUACACAGACUCUCCUGCCUGAGUACUCUUCCCUCUGCCUCAACAUUCUUGCCCCAACUAAUCCCUGCUGGACUUUCAGGUUUCAGCAUCUGCACUGCCCACUCGAGAAGCCUUCCCUGGUUCCCCACCCCAACUCCAAGGUUAGAUGUCUGCCCUAAUUCUCUACCAUGGCAUUUCUCUACUGGUUACUGUUACCAGUUAAUUAUAGGGAGUCCAAGAGGGAGACUCCCCCAUCUGUAUUGCCCACAUUACACCCACAGGGUGCAGCACAGUGCCCAUGUCACCAACAAAUAGUUUUUAAGCAUCUAUUAAAUGUCAGGCACCACAACUGGCCCUGGGAAAAUGAUGGAGACUUAACAAAGUUCUCCUCUUCAUAGAAUUUACACUCUUGGUUUGUGUAUAUUCUAAAGUUAUUGCGGGCUGGAUGUGGUGGCUUACGUCUGUAAUCCCAGCACUUUGGGAGGCCGAGGCAAGUGGAUCACCCAAGGUCAGGAGUUCAAGACCAGCCUGGCCAACAUGGUGAAACCCCAACUCCACUAAAAAUGCAAAAAAACUAGCUGAGUGUGGUGGUGUGCACCUGCAGUCCCAGCUACUUGGGAGGCUGAGGCAGGAGAAUUGUUUGAGUCCAGGAGGUGGAGGUUGCAGUAAGCCAAGAUUGCGCCACUGCACUCCAGCCUGGGUGACAGAGUGAGACUCCUGUUCCAAAAAUAAAAAUAAAUAAAAUAAAUAAUAAAGUGAUUGC
rnacentral:lncRNA from 13 species